rnacentral:hammerhead_ribozyme from 2 species
AGGCGAAACCGUCCCGCGCGGACGGUCCGGUGGGCUGGCAUCCCACCGCUGAUGAGCCUGCCAUGA